rnacentral:misc_RNA from 1 species
UUUCUACGCCUCGCCAUCGUACAGACACUUAAGCUAACAACUCGCUCACACACUCGAGAUGCCGUUCGUCAAGGUCGUGAAGAACAAGGCGUACUUCAAGCGCUUCCAGGUGAAGUACCGCCGUCGCCGCGAGGGCAAGACGGACUACCACGCGCGCCGCCAGAUGGUGCUGCAGGACAAGACGAAGUUCGGCUCGCCCAAGUACCGCCUUGUUGUGCGCAUCACGAACAAGGACAUCAUUGCGCAGAUCGUGCAGGCGAAGAUCGUCGGCGACGAGGUGGUGAUGGCCGCGUACGCGCACGAGCUGCCUGCGUUCGGCAUUGAGCACGGCCUGACAAACUACGCUGCUGCGUACGCGACUGGUCUGCUGCUGGCGCGCCGCACGCUGGCGAAGCUGGGCAUCGCGGACAAGUUCCAGGGCGCGAAGGAGGCGGACGGCUCGUACUCUGCUGUGCGCACGAAGAAGGACGACGAGGGCGACGACGAGGAGCGCUUCCCGUUCAAGGCGAUCCUGGACGUCGGGCUUGCGCGCACGACGACCGGCGCCCGCGUGUUCGGCGUGCUGAAGGGCGCGGUGGACGGCGGUAUGGCUGUGCCGCACCGCCCCAACCGCUUCCCCGGCUACAACAAGGAGAAGAGCUCGCUGGACGCGAAGGUGCACCGCGACCGCAUCUUUGGCAAGCACGUGGCGGAGUACCUGAAGCAGGUGAAGGAGGAGGCGAGCUCGAACCCCGACGAGAAGUGCGUGCAGUUCUCGAGGUACAUGGCCGCGAAGGUUUUGCCGGAGAGCAUCGAGGGCAUGUACAAGAAGGCGCACGCGGCGAUCCGCGCGGACCCGUCGAAGUCGCUGCCGAAGAAGGCGAAGAAGGAGGGCGUCGCGCACAAGAGCUACAAGACGAAGAAGCUGAGCGGCGCGGAGAAGAGGGCCGCCGCGAAGGCGAAGGUCGCGGCCAUCCGCGAGCGCCUCGGCAAGUAAGUCGAACGCUCACUUUUGAGCACACGACUCUCUACUUGUCUCCCGCUCUGAUGUCUCUUUCCUUAUUUCUGCGCCUGCAGGUAAAAGAAGUGCAUCCGCAUGGCUGUCUUUUAACGGGGACAGCGAGGCGUGCUGGCGGCAACUGUGUGCGCUUGUGUGCGCGCACGUUACGCUGAGAGAACCUCACAUUUCCUUUUUGUUUUUACUGUUAAUUUUCUGUAUGUCCUUUUCUCGGCCUCUUGUCGCGUCUGCUCCCCCCCCCCCCCCCCGAUGGGGCGCUGGCGAGGCGGAGAGGUCAUAGGUUCCUCGUUAUAAGCCAGUAGCGGUGCUGCACGGGCAUGCCCUAUGGAGGGAGAAGGGGUGCUGCGUGGAAAAGGGAGCGCAGUGCGCCAGAACACAAGCGUGCGCGCUUGUAGGUGCGCACAUGUUUGCUACUUUUUUUUCUCUCCGUUCCGCUCUGGCUAGUGAACUUCGCCACUGCCGAGUGGGUGUUGGCCUGCUGCAGAGACUGCAACAUUGCUCCCGGUGCGGGCUGUGUGCGGUCAUCGCGUGUGCGCAGCUGCAGUGUGCGGAGGGGCCGUCCAGGCACGGUCUUACUUCAAUCUCCGCUGCUAUGGGUGCGUCCUGAUGAAGGCCCUGCCUACGGAUCGCCUUUCUGUAGGCGCUCUUGUCCAUCUCUGCUGUAGCUCAACUUUCUGCGCUUGUUUUUCCUCUUUUUGUUCUUCGGCAUCUCCGCCUUUGUUGGUGACUGGUACUGCCUUGCGUCUCCAUGAACUAAAACAACGGCUGCAUAUCUUCCCCUUCCCUUGCGGAUAUAAAACUCGUACCUGUGCGACUUUCUCACGUUCGCCGCACGCUCACGGACGCUCGACGUCCAAUCGAUGCGCGCAUGCGCACCAUGACGCUUUUUCGAAG